UACGGGGGGGGCAAGCGUUGUUCGGAAUUACUGGGCGUAAAGGGCGCGUAGGCGGCCUUGCAAGUCGGUUGGUGAAAGCCCGGGGCUCAACCCCGGAGGUGCGGCCGAGACUGCAGGGCUGGAGGCCGGAAGAGGAGGGUGGAAUACCCAGUGUAGAGGUGAAAUUCGUAGAUAUUGGGUGGAACACCGGUGGCGAAAGCGGCUCUCUGGUCCGGACCUGACGCUGAGGCGCGAAAGCGUGGGGAGCAAACAGG
rnacentral:rRNA from 1 species